rnacentral:rRNA from 1 species
GACGAACGCUGGCGGCGUGCCUAAUACAUGCAAGUCGAGCGGACGAAUCGAAAGCUUGCUUUUGAUUCGUUAGCGGCGGACGGGUGAGUAACACGUGGGCAACCUGCCCCGUAGACGGGGAUAACACCGAGAAAUCGGUGCUAAUACCGGAUAACACGAAAUGUCGCAUGACGUUUCGUUGAAAGACGGCGCAAGCUGCCGCUACAGGAUGGGCCCGCGGCGCAUUAGCUAGUUGGUGAGGUAACGGCUCACCAAGGCGACGAUACGUAGCCGACCUGAGAGGGUGAUCGGCCACACUGGGACUGAGACACGGCCCAGACUCCUACGGGAGGCAGCAGUAGGGAAUCUUCCGCAAUGGACGAAAGUCUGACGGAGCAACGCCGCGUGAGCGAAGAAGGCCUUCGGGUCGUAAAGCUCUGUUGUUAGGGAAGAACAAGUAACGCAGUAACUGGCGUUACCGUGACGGUACCUAACGAGAAAGCCACGGCUAACUACGUG